UAUGUAUUUAAUGCCAUGCAGUGUGUUACGCUCAGGGAACAGCGCUGUGCCUAAAGGGGGCUAUAGCUUUCUUCUGAUGCAGCUACAGCAGCUAAUCACUCAAAACAGAGGAGUCACAGGUGCUGAAAAGCCUGUCUGCAGACUGUGCUGUCACAUGCCCACCACUGAAAUAGGUAAUAAAAUAUGAGUGUAAAGGCUUGGUAACCAAACCCCCCGUCUGUGAUAAGCAAACAUGGCAAGUUUGUCAUAUCACUGAAAGGAGUUCUCAUCCCUGGGAAGAAGGAAUUUCACUGCAGUUCAGACAUCUUCAUAAUAUAGUAGUGUAUAGCAGAUCCAGAGGUGCUACAUUCUACCAACCCAAGAGACUU